CCAGGCUGUGGGAAGCGCGGCUGCGGCCCGGAGAGUCUUGGCGCUGACCCUGCUGAGCCCGCCGAUUGGAGGCCUCGCCCGCCCAGGGUUCCAGAAGGUUCAAGUUCCUGCAGGAGAUGAUGCUCCUCUGGGCCAUGCUCCUUGUCAUCUGGUUGCCUCAGGUCAUGCUGGAAGGACAUUGGACCUAUAAUCUGAAAUGCCACGAUUGUUGGACCAUCAACA